rnacentral:tmRNA from 1 species
GGGGACGUAUUGUUCGACAGGUUAUAGCUCUUUUAAAUUGCAAGCCGAGGUGAUUGAUACUCGUUAAUCUCAAUCAAAAAAUAAAUGCUGAUGAAUUUUCAUCUGCUGGUGAGUUUUUAGCCGCACAAAUGGGCGUUAAAUACGCCUAUGCUGGUUAAACAAUGAGCCCAUCCUUAAUUUCUUUUUUCCGGUGAGGAGUUAAGGGUGUAAAUAAAGCCGGGACGUCAGGAGAAAAAUGACUGGUUUUCUCCGGAGACUAUUUCAGUCAAAACCUUUGGGGGUUCCGUUGUCUGUUUCGGUCCCAAAGGAAUAAACAGACUAAGCUUGUAGAAAUUUAAUUGAACUGGAUCUGGACGAGAGUUCAUUACUCUCCGUCUCCACCG